rnacentral:tRNA from 1 species
GAGGUUAUAGCUCAGUGGUAGAGCUCUUGCAUAGCAUAUGUGAGGGCCUGGGUUCAAUCCCCAGUACCACUA